UGACACUAUUCUAUUCCUUAAUUCCUUAUCAACUAUCCAAGAGAGUUGUCCAUUUCAUGUGGUGACGAUGAACGUUGCGUUCCCUCCAUGUGCGAUAGAUAGUAGUCUGGAAUACCAUUUUGACUGACGUGUGAUCGCAGCAGCAGCGAUAGUGUCAGUUGCUAAUGUGGGGUUUGUGCUCGUUCCCAAUACUCUCGUAACUAGCCUUUUCCAGACAAUGUAAAAAUAGAGAGAAACGAAGAAAGGAUGAUCUCUU
rnacentral:lncRNA from 1 species